GACGAACGCUGGCGGCGUGCUUAACACAUGCAAGUCGAACGGAAAGGCCCUGCUUUUGCGGGGUGCUCGAGUGGCGAACGGGUGAGUAACACGUGAGUAACCUGCCCUGGACUUUGGGAUAACUUCAGGAAACUGGGGCUACUACCGGAUAGGAGCUCCUGCUGCAUGGUGGGGGUUGGACAGUUUCGGCGGUUGGGGAUGGACUCGCGGCUUAUCAGCUUGUUGGUGGGGUAGUGGCUUACCCAGGCUUUGACGGGUAGCCGGCCUGGGAGGGUGACCGGCCACAUUGGGACUGAGAUACGGCCCAGUCUCCUACGGGGGGCAGCAGUGGGGAAUAUUGCACAAUGGGCGGAAGCCUGAUGCGGCAACGCCGCGUGCGGGAUGACGGCCUUCGGGUUGUAAACCGCUUUCGCCUGUGACGAAGCGUGAGUGACGGUAAUGGGUAAAGAAGCACCGGCUAACUACGUG
rnacentral:rRNA from 1 species